rnacentral:tRNA from 1 species
CUUGUAGCAUAAAUUAAUGUGUAGAUUUUAGAGAUCUAAGAUAAAUAAUUCAAG